rnacentral:rRNA from 1 species
UACGUAGGGUGCGAGCGUUAAUCGGAAUUACUGGGCGUAAAGCGUGCGCAGGCGGUUUGUUAAGUCAGAUGUGAAAGCCCCGAGCUUAACUUGGGAACUGCGUUUGAGACUGGCAAGCUAGAGUCUGUCAGAGGGGGGUAGAAUUCCACGUGUAGCAGUGAAAUGCGUAGAGAUGUGGAGGAAUACCAAUGGCGAAGGCAGCCCCCUGGGAUAAGACUGACGCUCAUGCACGAAAGCGUGGGGAGCAAACAGG